rnacentral:tRNA from 1 species
GAAAGCGUGGCGGAGUGGUUUAUCGUUGGCGGCUGUCCUCCGGGACCCGCUCCGGGCUUACGGGCUCGCGCAGGUUCGAUUCUUGCCGCCUUUCA